rnacentral:tRNA from 1 species
UACCCGAUAGUGUAACGGUAGCACAAGUGGUUUUGGUCCACUUCGUCUAGGUUCGAAUCCUAGUCGGGUAG